rnacentral:rRNA from 1 species
UUUAUAUGAGAGUUUGAUCCUGGCUCAGGAUGAACGCUGGCGGCGUGCCUAAUACAUGCAAGUCGAACGAGUUCUGAUUAUUGAAAGGUGCUUGCAUCUUGAUUUAAUUUUGAACGAGUGGCGGACGGGUGAGUAACACGUGGGUAACCUGCCCUUAAGUGGGGGAUAACAUUUGGAAACAGAUGCUAAUACCGCAUAAAUCCAAGAACCGCAUGGUUCUUGGCUGAAAGAUG